rnacentral:tRNA from 1 species
GGGUGUGUAGCUCAGGUGGUUAGAGCGUUACGUUGACAUCGUAAAGGUCAGAGGUUCGAGUCCUCUUACACCCACCA